CACAAGAGAGACGAGGUCACUGGAGGAUAAACAUCCGUGACUGCGCCUCAUGAUCCAUCACGCCCGACGGCCGCAGCCUCCCCUGCCAGCUGCCGGCACAGCCAUGAGCAUGGCUCAGGAACGCGCUGUUGUCGCGGGAUGGACGACCGCAGUAGCAGCGUGGGGUCCAUCUGCCUCUCUCUGAGCAGGAAGCCUCUCAGGCUCACACGGGGAGCCACCAGGCUGGACUGGGUGCAGCUUACGGACCUGGCGCGUGCUGUGGGCGUCGGGCCGUGGCUCCUCCAUGCAGUACUUACACUGCUGUCUGCAGAUCGCACCUAAUCAGGAGGGAAUGGUCCAGGCAGGUGGGCAAGGCCACGGCUUGGCCACGGUGGUCCUGCAGGCAGUACUGAGCCCGCCCUGCUGGGCACCCCACAGCCCCUGUGGCUCUCCAGCUGCCACUGAGGCCGGAUGCCCCAUGAGGAGGCUCCCAUCUGUGGGUGGCAAAAUGACGGCCCCGAAGACCCCCGCUUCCUCUCCCGAAGACCCCCGCUUCCUCUCCCUGGGACCUGUGGGUUCACACAGCAGUGGGGACCUGUGACUGUGGAUGGCCCAUCAGCUCCCUCAACAGGGAGGCUGCCGUGGGUGACCCGCGAGGGCACAGGGUACCUCCGUCCUGCUGAGUGGAAGAGGGAGGCCGUGGCAGAGGCGGGCGUGAGGGGGACUGGCCCACCGCUGCUGGCUUCGUGAGGGGCCCCCAGCCAAGGAAAGGCCUCCCAAAGCCGGAAGAGGCCUCCCAGGAGCCUCCAGAAGGAACUUUGGUGUUGGUGGAAUCCGAUGUGAGAGGACACGCGGGCGACCUGUCUUGGGUCACGCCGGUUCCCGGUCCCCACACCAGCCCGCCCUGGGCGGGAACCCUAAGAGGAAGGGACGGGCCAUCGCGGGGCUCUCCCGGAAACCCGCCCCAGGUGCCUCGGUCCCUGCGUCAGUGCGGGGUCUCGGUGGCCGCCCUGCUGGCUCCGGGCACUCCCUCCGCCUUCCUGCCACGCGGCUGGUCCUCCCUGGGCUGGGCUGAGGCACCCUCCAUGCCCACCCGUCAUACCCGGCAAGAGCUGGGGGCGUGAAGCCAGGCCCAGGUGGGCUGUGGCGGCAUCCAGGUGGAAGGACGUGGAGGACUCGGAGGCGGAGGGGUCUCCAGGGCAGGGCAGGGCCGGUUCCCUGGGGCAUCUGCUGUGUCCAGGAGCCCGGCGCUGCCACUGGCCUUGCCCCAAGGCCCAGCUCUGCCCUUCAUCCCCUCAGCACCUCCCCCUGCCUUCCUUCCAUGGGUCCUAAGCUGUGGCAAGUCCUUAAGUUGGGACAGCAGGCACCAGCCCCGCCCCCAACAGGUCACUCGGCGGCUAGGAGCCCAUGUCCUCGUCGGUGACACAAGAAAAUGGUGCAGUCAUGCGAGGGCAUGAGAGGGUCCCGUGGAAGGCACGUUCCAGAAGGUUCCAUCCCAUGGAAGGCAAGUUCCAGAAGGUUCCGUCCUGUGGAAAACACGUUCCAGAAGUUUCCAGCCCGUGGAAGGCACAUUCCAGAAGGUUCUGUCCCGUGGAAGCUACGUUCCAGAAGUUUCCGUCAUGUGGAAGGCACGUUCCAGAAGGUUCUGUUCCAUGGAAGGUCACUCUGUGGGGUGUGCACUGACCCCAGCCAGUGGAUGCUCCCCGUCCAAGAGCAAAGCUACAGUCGGCUGCAGGUGCAGCCUCUUUUGCACAGUGGAAGAAUUUCUCCAGAAGAUAUUCCUGCGAGUGGAGUCACUGGAUCGUAGGCCCAGAUGUCUUCUACUUACUUGAUUUUGCCUGAUGCCUUCCAAGGAGGCUGUGCACAGUGGGUGUGAGACGCCCCAUCUCACCAAUGGGCCAACAUCCCAAUGGGAGAUGUUGAGUUUUCACCGCGGUGCUGAGUGUGACGUGGAAUCUUCUUAUUUUAACUUGUAUUUCCCUCAUUACAAGUUAGGUGGAACAUCUCAAAUAUGUUUCUGGGCCAUUUGAUUUUCCUGCAAGUCGCCUGUUCCAGUUCUUUGCCCAUUUCCUGUUGGGCUGGUCAAUAUUUUUUGCGAUUAUACGUUGGAUACGUGGCUGGCCUUUGGCUUGCCUUUGACCUCGUUUGUUCUAUCGAAGCAUGUGCAGAGUUGUUAAAUUUUAAUGUAUUCAAAUGCAUUAAUCUCUUCUUUCUUU
rnacentral:lncRNA from 1 species